rnacentral:rRNA from 1 species
GACGAACGCUGGCGGCGUGCCUAAUACAUGCAAGUAGGACGCAGUUGCGAACGGUUGAGUAACGCGUAGGUAAUUGCCUAUUAGAGGGGGAUAACUAUUGGAAACGAUAGGUAAUACCGCAUACUAGUAGAUGGACCUGCGUUGUAUUAGCUAGUAGGUAGGGUAAUGGCCUACCUAGGCGACGACACAUAGCCGACCUGGGAGGGUGAUCGGCCAGACUGGGACUGAGAAACGGCCCAGACUCCUACGGGAGGCAGCAGUAGGGAAUCUGCGGGAAAGGGGGGAACGCUGACCGAGCAACGCCGCGGGAGGGAAGAAGGUUAUCGGGUCGUAAAGCUCUGUUGUUAAGGAAGCGGUACUUAACCAGAAAGGGACGGCUAACUACGUGCCAGCAGCCGCGGUAAUAC